CUCUGGGAGGCCCAGGUGGCUCUGCAGCAGUCUCUGCCACCCUGUGACCUGCGGGUAUUGGGACAUCCCUAGCUGACUCCAGGACACCCGGGAAGCCGAGGAGUGCCCGAGCUUUUAUUCCUCGGAGACACAUCGAUGGUCUGCCAAUCGGAUGCUGAUAUUGAGAGGAAAAGGCAGAAAUGAUUUCUGCUCUCUAGACUGUCUCAGACUUGUGAAGAGAGAAAAACUGUCCCAAAGGACAAGGAAAACCCACCCCAGAGAGGACGUGGAAGAACCUGAAUAUGAAAAUGCACUUAAGGCGCACAGGAGGACAAAGAGCAGUGCCAGUGCCUCCUAGGUGGUCACUGAGCACUUUACUGAACAGGAUGGGUGUCCUGAGGGAUAGAAUGGCCUGCCGUGACACUUAGAAAGGACUCCGUGGCUUUUGAGGAUGUGGCUGUGAACUUUACCCAGGAGGAAUGGGCUUUGCUAGAUUCUUCUCAGAAGAAUCUCUGCAUAGAAGUGAUGCAGGAAACCUGCAGGAACCUGGCUUCUGUAGAAAUCAUAUGGUACAGAGACUGUGUGAAAGCAAAGAAGGUAGUCAGUAUGAUGGACGAGUUGUCAGCCAAAUUCCGAAUCUUGAUCUGAAUGAGAACAUUUCUGCUGGAUGAAAACAAUGUGAAUGCAGUAUUUGUGGAAAAGUCUUUGUACGUCAUUCCCUCCUUAAUAGGCACAUCCUAGCUCAGGAUACAAACCAUAUGGAGAGAAGCAAUAUAAAUGUGAACAGUGUGGGAAAUUCUUCGUUUCUGUUCCAGGUGUUAGAAGACACAUGAUAAUGCACAAUGGAAAUCCGGCUUAUAAAUGUACGAUAUGUGGGAAAGCUUUUUAUUUUCUCAAUUCAUUUGAAAGACAUCAGAGAACUCACACAGGACAAAAACCCUAUAAAUGUAAACAAUGUGGUAAAGCGUUCACUGU
rnacentral:lncRNA from 1 species